GAUGAUUUCUAUCUGACACAGAACAGAUUUCUGCAGCGUCUUUACACUCACCGAGAAAUCCUUUCUUGCAAAUCUGCCCAAAACCCUUCCUCUUCCAUGACACCUUUUUUUCACUCUUUUCUUUAGUAACAUUCCUACCAGAGCAUUCCCACUCUUUGGCUCAUCAAUCUGCAGUAACUCCAUCUCCCCCAUUCACUUCUCACUUUCACUAUUCUAUUGCAACUUCAGGAACUCAAGUUCACCAUACAUCUUGAUCAAGCAAAACCACCAAAACACAAUCACACCAAACAAAUCCAAAAUCAGGUUCGAGUAACCAAGGGCUUUAGAGCUACAAGAAGAACAAGCACUGAAUCUCCGCAUCGAGGUUAGGCGGCUGGUGCGCACGGUGCUGAGCUGGGGAGUGUUUCUUAUCCUGACGACUGGCUACUCCUUAGCUAAUCUAGUUGAAUUCCUGAAUAACUUCUAAAUCAAAUUAUGUUGAGCUCAGACUCAUUAUUUCUAUUCCGCUGCACUGUUGAAUGUUAAACUAUCAGGGUUGUGAAACUAAACCUCUUUAGAUCCUUGGGGAUUUUCUCCAUAUGAUGAACUCGUUCUAAGUCAUCAUUAACCAUCUUUA